rnacentral:rRNA from 1 species
GACGAACGCUGGCGGCGUGCUUAACACAUGCAAGUCGAACGGAAAGGCCCUGCUUUUGUGGGGUGCUCGAGUGGCGAACGGGUGAGUAACACGUGAGUAACCUGCCCUUGACUUUGGGAUAACUUCAGGAAACUGGGGCUAAUACCGGAUAGGAGCUCCUGCUGCAUGGUGGGGGUUGGAAAGUUUCGGCGGUUGGGGAUGGACUCGCGGCUUAUCAGCUUGUUGGUGGGGUAGUGGCUUACCAAGGCUUUGACGGGUAGCCGGCCUGAGAGGGUGACCGGCCACAUUGGGACUGAGGUACGGCCCAGACUCCUACGGGAGGCAGCAGUGGGGAAUAUUGCACAAUGGGCGGAAGCCUGAGGCAGCAACCCCGGGUGCGGGAUGACGGCCUUCGGGUUGUAAACCGCUUUCGCCUGUGACGAAGCGUGAGUGACGGUAAUGGGUAAAGAAGCACCGGCUAACUACGUG